rnacentral:rRNA from 1 species
AGAGUUGAUCAUGGCUCAGGAUUAACGCUGGCGGCGUGCCUAAUACAUGCAAGUCGAAUGGUUAGCUUGCUAACCAUGGCGAACGGGUGAGUAACACGUAGGCAACCUGUCUAAGAGACGAGGAUAACCAUUGGAAACGAUGGAUAAUACUGGAUAAGAUAUUGGGAGGCAUCUUCUGAUAUUUAAAGAUUUAUCGCUAAUAGAGGGGCCUGCGGCGCAUUAGCUAGUUGGUGAGGUAACGGCCCACCAAGGCGAUGAUGCGUAGCCGGACUGAGAGGUUGAACGGCCACAAUGGGACUGAGAACGGCCCAUACUCCUACGGGAGGCAGCAGUAGGGUAAUUUUCGGCAAUGGACGAAAGUCUGACCGAGCAACGCCGCGUGAACGAAGAAGUAUUUCGGUAUGUAAAGUUCUUUUAUUUGGGAAGAAAAUACAUUGACUGUACCAAAUGAAUAAGCUCCGGCUAACUACGUGCCAGCCGCCGC